GAUGAACGCUGGCGGCGUGCCUAAUACAUGCAAGUCGAGCGAACGGACGAGAAUCUUGCUUCUCUGAUGUUAGCGGCGGACGGGUGAGUAACACGUGGAUAACCUACCUAUAAGACUGGGAUAACUUCGGGAAACCGGAGCUAAUACCGGAUAAUAUUUUGAACCGCAUGGUUCAAAAGUGAAAGACGGUCUUGCUGUCACUUAUAGAUGGAUCCGCGCUGCAUUAGCUAGUUGGUAAGGUAACGGCUUACCAAGGCAACGAUGCAUAGCCGACCUGAGAGGGUGAUCGGCCACACUGGAACUGAGACACGGUCCAGACUCCGACGGGAGGCAGCAGUAGGGAAUCGUCCGCAAUGGGCGAAAGCCUGACGGAGCAACGCCGCGUGAGUGAUGAAGGUCUUCGGAUCGUAAAACUCUGUUAUUAGGGAAGAACAUAUGUGUAAGUAACUGUGAACAUCUUGACGGUACCUAAUCAGAAAGCCACGGCUAACUACGUG
rnacentral:rRNA from 1 species